CAACGACGUGAGCUUGAAGGGUUGCCCAGGUGGGAAGAAAUCUUUGCAGAUGUGAUUGUAAUUUCCUUAGUUUGGUUGUGGAAACCCAACCUGCUUUACAAGCUUUGCACAUUACUCCAAGCUGUUUUCCUUACCCUGUCAUGAACGUUACGUUUUUCUCCUGCUUUACGUAAGUUGCAUACAAGUUACUUUUGCAAAGCUAACUUUCCAAUCUAGCUGGCAAAUAAUUUUUCAUUGCAGCUCCUCAAUUUUUCACACAUCAUGGACCUUACGGGGAAAUCAAUGGGAAUGCAGCACCUCCGUUAGGCGAGCUCUGCCUUAAAGGCAUUGCAAAGCAUAAUAAGUAUGAUUAAUAUUUCUGUUCCUCAAAAACUUCUUGUUAAGCUACUGAUCUUUUCUAAUCUCUCAUGUGGCUCCUUAACACAGGUUUGUCUGCAUCGAUUUAUUUCCGCAGAUCAUUUUAGCUCUCACACAGUUUCAACUCAUCUUGUGUUCUUGACGCAGUUUGUUGCCUCUGGAUAUACUGCAGGACAGAGCGAGCUGGGUAAGCCGGGAAGAUGGGGUGACGAGGUAAAGAAUUUAGAGGACAUGUACACAGAGAGAGAGAGGAUGUCCAUGGGAGCCACGGAGCAGCCACUACAGAGUGAAUAAAAUCAAACAGCAGGAAAGUAGACAAGGUGGAGCCCCAAUGGCACACUGCUCGUGGGGAGCACACACACAGCUGGGUGCCUGCUGCUGGGUUCUCUCCUGCAGGAUGUCUCCUGAGAUUCUGCUAUAAGAAGUUGAGUCUUUUAUCUGUGUAUUUUAAGCGUUACCCUUUCUGCUGAAAAAACUGUAACAGCGAUAAUAAAUCUGCAAGAUGCUCAGAAUUCUGUGGAUAUACAAGUAUUUAUAUAUGCUAGCAUCAUGUUUUAAAUUUACAUGAAUGUUCAAAGUACAAUCUGAGAUUGUCAUGCACACUUGGUUACUGUAGUAAGCUGUGUGCUUAGAUACACUGCUGUUAAAUGGAGGAGUCUAGCUCUUGUUGCAGGAACAUAGCUAGGGGUUACAGGAAGGGGUUGUAGGUCAGUAAAAUAUUGCCAGUUGAAUGUAAGGUGAAAGCGAUGAUGUUUGAGAUCCUGC
ensembl:lncRNA